AGUAACACGUGAGCAACCUGCCUUUCAGAGGGGGAGUAACAGUUGGAAACGACUGCUAAUACCGCAUGACAUUAGGGGAGGGGCAUCCUCUUCUAAUCAAAGGAGUAAUCCGCUGAAAGAUGGGCUCGCGGCCGAUUAGCUAGAUGGCGGGGUAGAGGCCCACCAUGGCGACGAUCGGUAGCCGGACUGAGAGGUUGAACGGCCACAUUGGGACUGAGACACGGCCCAGACUCCUACGGGAGGCAGCAG
rnacentral:rRNA from 1 species